UGGAGACAGCCGAGGACCCUGCUGGAAGGGGCUCUUGGAGCGGUGGUGUGUGCCCUGAUGGCCCUGCACUUUCUGAAUCCAGAGUGAGGACUUAGGCCCAUGGCACUUUCUGGGGCAGAAGAGAGCCGUUUGUCACCGUGGUGUCAGGGAGAGCUCCAGCUGUGUGACACUGUUGAGGCCACCCAUGGAAGCCCAGAGCCCAGCCCAGGUGCAUGGCCCUGCCCACCAGCCUUCCCAGAUGCCUCAGGUUGUUCUCCCCUCAUUCCCUGGUCAGGUCCCCUUGUGGCUGUUCAUUCACUGAGCAUUUGCCUCUGGAGAGCUGGCACCAGGCUGGGAGUGCAGCGGGUACAGUGGCUGCAGCGCGAGUCACCUUGGGAGUCAUCUGCAUGCCCCACAGGCACCCAGUACAGAGCAGAAGCAGAUACACAGUGGGCUCCUGGGCAGGACAGGACCUUUAACCUUGCCACUGUGCUUCUCCUAUGGGGACAAGCAAGGCCUCGGUGCCCUUGAUGGGCUGAGAGGUGGACACCGUCAGGUUUUCCUGCAGUUGGUCUUCAUUCUUUCCCUCAUCCUUAAAAUAACUAGAUAAAUAUCCCCCAUUGUUGAGAGCCACAGCCGAAGGGGCCCCAGCAAACUUCCGGCUGCCAGCUGAUUGGCUCCUCUGCGGUGAUGCUCAUUGGGCUGUUUCCCCGCCCUUUCAGACCACGGAGCUGCUCAUUGGGGGACUUUUUUGGCUCCGCCCACACGACCCAGCCAAUCGGCCUCAAGAGCAGGAGGAGUGGGGGGUUGAGAGGCUUGUGGGAAGCCGGUGGUGGCAGUUGGGCUCUGAGGGAAUUCCUGAAGAGCUCGUGUGGUGCGGCGUGUGUGUGUGUGUGUGUGUGUGUGUGUGUGUG
rnacentral:lncRNA from 1 species